rnacentral:pre_miRNA from 1 species
AGGAGCAACAGCCCUAGUGGCGGGGCAGCUCUGGAAACCUGGAUUCAGCUCCGGCAGGAACUCCGUCUGCAGGGCCUGGAGGCUCCGGGUCGGG